rnacentral:rRNA from 1 species
GAUGAACGCUGGCGGCGUGCUUAACACAUGCAAGUCGAACGGGAAACCUUUUAUUGAAGCUUCGGCAGAUUUAGCUGGUUUCUAGUGGCGGACGGGUGAGUAACGCGUGGGUAACCUGCCUUAUACAGGGGGAUAACAGUCAGAAAUGACUGCUAAUACCGCAUAAGCGCACAGAGCUGCAUGGCUCGGUGCGAAAAACUCCGGUGGUAUAAGAUGGACCCGCGUUGGAUUAGCUAGUUGGUGAGGUAACGGCCCACCAAGGCGACGAUCCAUAGCCGGCCUGAGAGGGUGAACGGCCACAUUGGGACUGAGACACGGCCCAGACUCCUACGGGAGGCAGCAGUGGGGAAUAUUGCACAAUGGGGGAAACCCUGAUGCAGCGACGCCGCGUGAAGGAAGAAGUAUCUCGGUAUGUAAACUUCUAUCAGCAGGGAAGAAAAUGACGGUACCUGACUAAGAAGCCCCGGCU